rnacentral:rRNA from 1 species
CACGUAGGGGGCGAGCGUUGUCCGGAUUUAUUGGGCGUAAAGAGCUCGUAGGCGGCUCAGUAAGUCGGGUGUGAAAACUCCAGGCUCAACCUGGAGACGCCACCUGAUACUGCUGUGGCUAGAGUCCGGUAGGGGAGCAUGGAAUUCCCGGUGUAGCGGUGAAAUGCGCAGAUAUCAGGAGGAACACCAGUGGCGAAGGCGGUGCUCUGGGCCGGAACUGACGCUGAGGAGCGAAAGCGUGGGGAGCAAACAGG